rnacentral:rRNA from 2 species
CCUCAAAGGGCGGCAGGUCUACACAUGCAAGUCGAGCGGCAGCGGGAAGAUAGCUUGCUAUCUUUGCCGGCGAGCGGCGGACGGGUGAGUAAUGCCUAGGGAUCUGCCCAGUCGAGGGGGAUAACAGUUGGAAACGACUGCUAAUACCGCAUACGCCCUACGGGGGAAAGGAGGGGACCUUCGGGCCUUCCGCGAUUGGAUGAACCUAGGUGGGAUUAGCUAGUUGGUGAGGUAAUGGCUCACCAAGGCGACGAUCCCUAGCUGUUCUGAGAGGAUGAUCAGCCACACUGGGACUGAGACACGGCCCAGACUCCUACGGGAGGCAGCAGUGGGGAAUAUUGCACAAUGGGGGAAACCCUGAUGCAGCCAUGCCGCGUGUGUGAAGAAGGCCUUCGGGUUGUAAAGCACUUUCAGUAGGGAGGAAAGGUAGCAGCUUAAUACGCUGUUGCUGUGACGUUACCUACAGAAGAAGGACCGGCUAACUCCGUGCCAGCAGCCGCGGUAAUACGGAGGGUCCGAGCGUUAAUCGGAAUUACUGGGCGUAAAGCGUGCGCAGGCGGUUUGUUAAGCGAGAUGUGAAAGCCCCGGGCUCAACCUGGGAAUUGCAUUUCGAACUGGCGAACUAGAGUCUUGUAGAGGGGGGUAGAAUUCCAGGUGUAGCGGUGAAAUGCGUAGAGAUCUGGAGGAAUACCGGUGGCGAAGGCGGCCCCCUGGACAAAGACUGACGCUCAGGCACGAAAGCGUGGAAGCACACAGGAUUAGAUACCCUGGUAGUCCACGCCGUAAACGAUGUCUACUCGGAGUUUGGUGUCUUGAACACUGGGCUCUCAAGCUAACCCUUUAAGUACACCGCCUGGGGAGUACGGCCGCUAGGUUAAAACUCAAAUGAAUUGACGGGGGCCCGCACAAUCUGUGGACCAUGUG